CAGCAGCCACGGGAAAACCGAGGGUGCGAGCGUUAAUCGGAAUAACUGGGCGUAAAGGGCACGCAGGCGGUGACUUAAGUGAGGUGUGAAAGCCCCGGGCUUAACCUGGGAAUUGCAUUUCAUACUGGGUCGCUAGAGUACUUUAGGGAGGGGUAGAAUUCCACGUGUAGCGGUGAAAUGCGUAGAGGUGUGGAGGAAUACCGAAGGCGAAGGCAGCCCCUUGGGAAUGUACUGACGCUCAUGUGCGAAAGCGUGGGGAGCAAACAGGAUUAGAUACCCCCGUAGUCCCUGUCUCUUAUAC
rnacentral:rRNA from 1 species